UUUAAGUGUAAUAGUAGAUUUUCAUAUUCAACAUUUGAUCGUUCAUAUUAUUUAAUUUUUUAUAAUUAGUAUUUAUAUUGUUAUUAGAUGAUAAAAUAUAAAUAACACUUUAUAUAUACUUUAUUUUUAAUAAAUGGUUAAAUGCUGAACACGAAGAUUCAUGUCACGCCCCGAAC
rnacentral:pre_miRNA from 1 species